AGUGAACGCUGGCGGUAGGCCUAACACAUGCAAGUCGAACGGCAGCACAGUAAGAGCUUGCUCUUACGGGUGGCGAGUGGCGGACGAGUGAGGAAUACAUCGGAAUCUACUUUUUCGUGGGGGAUAACGUAGGGAAACUUACGCUAAUACCGCAUACGACCUACGGGUGAAAGCAGGGGAUCUUCGGACCUUGCGCGAUUGAAUGAGCCGAUGUCGGAUUAGCUAGUUGGCGGGGUAAAGGCCCACCAAGGCGACGAUCCGUAGCUGGUCUGAGAGGAUGAUCAGCCACACUGGAACUGAGUCACGAUCCAGACUCCUACGGGAGGCAGCAGUGGGGAAUAUUGGACAAUGGGCGCAAGCCUGAUCCAGCCAUACCGCGUGGGUGAAGAAGGCCUUCGGGUUGUAAAGCCCUUUUGUUGGGAAAGAAAAGCAGCAGGUUAAUACCCCGCUGUUCUGACGGUACCUAAAGAAUAAGCACCGGCUAACUUCGUG
rnacentral:rRNA from 1 species